GUAAGUAAGUAAGAUCCCUGAAAGAUGAUCAGGUAGAUAGGAUGGAAGUGGAAGUGCUGUGAGGCAUGGAGCGGACCAUUACUAAUCGAUCGAGGACUUAACCAAG
rnacentral:rRNA from 1 species